UAGAGAAUGACAGAGGCAACUGGAAUUCCACAUGUAGGGGUAAAAUCCGUUGAUAUGUGGAGGAACACCAAAAGCGAAGGCAGGUUGCUGGGUUAUUUCUGACGCUGAGGAACGAAAGCGUGGGGAGCAAACAGGAUUAGAUACCCUGGUAGUCCACGCCGUAAACGAUGGAUACUCGAUGUAGGGAGGAAUCGACCCCUCUCUGUGUCUAAGCUAACGCGUUAAGUAUCCCGCCUGGGGAGUACGGUCGCAAGAUUAAAACUCAAAGGAAUAGACGGGGACCCACACAAGCGGUGGGGCAUGUGGUUUAAUUCGACGAUAAACGGGGAACCUUACCAGGGCUUGACAUCUCCGGAAUCCCGAGGAAACUUGGGAGUGCCGUAAGGAACUGGAUGACAGGUGCUGCAUGGUCGUCGUCAGCUCGUGCCUUGAGGUGUUCGGUUAAGUCCGUAAACGAGCGCAACCCAUGUCCUAUGUUGCAUUUUUCAUAGGAGACUGCCGGCUCCAAGUCGGAGGAAGGUAUGGAUGACGUCAGAUCAGCAUGGCCCUUAUGCCCUGGGCUACACACGUGCUACAAUGGCCGGUACAAUGGGUAGCGAACCCGCAAGGGGGAGCCAAUCUCAUCAAAGCCGGUCUCAGUUCGGAUUGGGGGCUGAAAUUCGACCCCAUGAAGUUGGAAUCGCUAGUAACCGCGAAUCAGCUAUGU
rnacentral:rRNA from 1 species